UGUAACUUCCCACCACCAGUCAGCCUCUGUGGCCACUGCAUGCAUAUAUAUGUAUUACACACAUAUGCAUAUACACAUAUGCAUUCUUAUACAUA
ensembl:miRNA Gm25779 predicted gene, 25779